rnacentral:rRNA from 1 species
UACGUAGGGACCAAGCGUUGUUCGGAUUUACUGGGCGUAAAGGGCGCGUAGGCGGUCAGCACAAGUCAGUUGUGAAAUCUCCGGGCUUAACUCGGAAAGGUCAACUGAUACUGUCGUGCUAGAGUGCGGAAGGGGCUACUGGAAUUCUCGGUGUAGCGGUGAAAUGCGUAGAUAUCGAGAGGAACACCUGCGGCGAAGGCGGGUAGCUGGGCCGACACUGACGCUGAUGCGCGAAAGCCAGGGGAGCGAACGGG